UUACAACAGUCAAACAUGACAACAGUCAAACAUUACAACAACAAACAUGACAACAGUCAAACAUUACAACAGUCAAACAUUACAACAACAAACAUGACAACAGUCAAACAUUACAACAGUCAAACAUUACAACAGUCAAACAUUACAACAGUCAAACAUGACAACAGUCAAACAUUACAACAGUCAAACAUGACAACAGUCAAACAUGACAACAGUCAAACAUUACAACAACAAACAUUACAACAACAAACAUGACAACAACAAACAUUACAACAGUCAAACAUGACAACAGUCAAACAUUACAACAGUCAAACAUUACAACAGUCAAAUAUUACAACAGUCAAACAUUACAACAGUCAAACAUUACAACAGUCAAACAUUACAACAGUCAAACAUUACAACAGUCAAACAUUACAACAGUCAAACAUGACAACAGUCAAACAUGACAACAGUCAAACAUUACAACAGUCAAACAUUACAACAGUCAAACAUUACAACAGUCAAACAUGACAACAUCAAACAUUACAACAGUCAAACAUUACAACAGUCAAACAUGACAACAGUCAAACAUUACAACAGUCAAACAUGACAACAGUCAAACAUGACAACAGUCAAACAUGACAACAGUCAAACAUUGACAACAGUCAAACAUGACAACAGUCAAACAUGACAACAGUCAAACAUGACAACAGUCAAACAUGACAACA